AUGACUUGGGUCCUCAGAACCGCUCACAGCCCCUCCCUGAGCUUCAGGGUCCCUGAUUCAGGGUCAGGUCCAGGGCUGGCUUGUGAAGGUAAGUGGUCCUCCCCUCACUCAGAGGCUUCUUCCAUCCUUCCUCUCCUGUUAGCCUCAGGCUGCCACUACAGAAGUGUGACCCCAGCCCUGCCUCACCAGCCAAUCACAGAGCCUCUUGGGUCACCAGAGAGCUUGCGGGACUGGCUUUGGCUGGGCACUUCUUUUCAGGAGCUUUCUGUCCCAUACCCAUCUUGAACCUGGCAGCAAGGCCCUCCCUGAUCUAGCCCCAGUUACCUUGACAACCAUGUCAGGCCUCACUGCCCAGGUGCUGUGGAACCUGACGGGGUUUUCCAGCUACCGUGCCUUUGCCCAGGGUACCCAUCCUGCGCCCACUGGUCCGCUGUCCCAACACUGCCUAGCUUGGGCUCAACCUUCCCCGAACCCUACAGAGGUUCUGGUCUCUAAAUUGUUCACGUCUCCCAGACUCCUUUGGACUGCUUCCCCAAGAUAGCUCCUUCCAGGCAGGAACACAGUUGCCUCUCAAUAAACUUGUUUUGCAAAAAAGGAAUGAAUGAGUUGCUGUAAAUUUGUAUGGGGGGGGUGCUUGACCCAGCAGGUGGCCCUCUGACCCAAUGAGGAGGUGGUGGGGCGGGCGUAGGACUCACUUGACCUGGAGCUGGGCCUUCCCUCCCUUUUCCCACCUCUGGGCUCUUUUUUUUUGCAAGCUUCCACGAGCGGUCGCUGCUGCCCUCUGGUGGUCAGACCCUGCCUUGCUUCCGCGGAAAACCUACCCGGCCUUUUUUAAAUUGCGAACCUGGCAAUUUCCUCCGUGAACUAAAGUUUACCUGAUCUUUGCUGAGAACUUGAAAAUUGAAAAUCUUCUUGGGGGGUUAUGGGGGGGGGGUCGUGGCUAGAAGAUCCUGAGUCCUUCCUCUCUGAGGAAACUACCAAGAGUAGACAGGGUAGGACCUGUCCCUCACUUAUCCCUGCCUCAAUCAAUGCCCACCAGCCACACACUGGCUCCAGAGGUCCCCAGCCUCUCCUGACUGCCGGCCUGGCUUGUGCAACGGACGGUUGGCCCAGGGGUCGCGGGGAGGGAAAGAAUGGGGGAUAGGAGUGAUCUCAGCCAGCCAGCAGCCCCAGUAGUACCUGCACAUUGCGCUCGAUAAAUAGCUGUUUCGAUCAGGGAAGUGGGAGGGUUGGUGACAGUCCUUGGCAUGAAGAUACAAAGCUGCUGUCUGGAGGGCGCUUAAUCAAAUUUCAGGCUGGGGUGGGUGUUACGAGGGAGCCCAGCUUACCUCAACUAGAUCUGCCCUGGCUUUACCCAUUCCUUCCUCGACGGUGUUUUCCUCGGUUCAUGCCUCUGCCCCUGCUAGAAAGAGACUUCCGCCCGCGUGGUUUGGGGCCAACCCCCAAAGGGUAUUGUUCCGGAGUCGUUCACCUGCUCUCCAAGCUGCCCGCCCCAAGGCGAUUGCCCGCCAGAGGGCGCCAGACGUCCACCUUGCGCUCUUGGGGAGGUGGUGGGGGUAGGUGAAUGGAACCGCUAUUCCCCAACCCCAACCCCAUCACUGGCGCCCGUAGGGCUGGUCUAGGUGAGCAGACACGCCCCCAUGCCAGCAUCCUCCCUGGCACUAACAACCUACCUCGUGGGGGACCAGGUCAGAAGCCGACUUGCCCCAGGCCACACAGCUGAGGCGGGGCAACGACAAGGGGCUUUUCCCUGAGCCUGAGACCGAGGCUCCCGGACUCCUGGUGCUGGGGCA
ensembl:lincRNA